CCUACGGGGGGCAGCAGUGAGGAAUAUUGGUCAAUGGCCGGAAGGCUGAACCAGCCAUGCCGCGUGAAGGUCAGUGCCCUAUGGGCGUUAAACUUCUUUUGUGCGGGAGCAAUCAUGGUCACGUGUGGCCAGACGAGAGUACCGUACGAAUAAGCAUCGGCUAACUCCGUGCCAGCCGCCGCGGUGAUACGGGGGAUGCGAGCGUUAUCCGGAGUUAUUGGGUUUAAAGGGUGCGUAGGCUGUGAGGUAAGUCAGCGGUGAAAUGCCCCCGCUCAACGGGGUGAAGUGCCAUUGAUACUGCCGUGCUGGAAUGCGGAUGCCGUGGGAGGAAUGUGUGGUGUAGCGGUGAAAUGCAUAGAUAUCACACAGAACACCGAUUGCGAAGGCAUCUCACGAAUCCGCGAUUGACGCUGAUGCACGAAAGCGUGGGUAUCAAACAGGAUUAGAUACCCCAGUAGUC
rnacentral:rRNA from 1 species